rnacentral:misc_RNA from 1 species
UUAACUAUUGUAUAUUACUCUGACAAUAAAUGAUUCAGGGUGUUGGUUCUCUGGCAGGCACUAACUAGCCAAGGCCAGUAGCACAGAGGCAGGCCUGCCAAAGCAACAAAGUAUGUAAACAUAGGGUGGGAGAUCUACCCCUAGGGGCAAGUUCUCAGUAAUGAUCCUUCCGCAGGUUCCGAUUAUUGCAAGCAACCAAGCUUACAUCCGAUCAUAUCUUAACCCAGAGAGGGCCACCUCUAUUUGAUCUGUGAACUCAAAAGAGCCGCUGGUAGUACAAUUAUGUAAAUUCCAGCAAGAUAGAGAUGUUGCCUGCCAGAGCAGACUGAUGACCGCAGGCAAACCAAUACCUACGGAAA